UUGGUGUUUCCUUCAGAAUUCAGCUAAGUGAGCACUGGCUUGUGUUGUGUUCCAUUGUGAUGAGGCAGCACUGAGUUCCACUGCAAAGUUCCACAGUCACUUUGUCCUCCCUCCCCCAGGCACACAGAUUCUCUCUCCACUUACUGCUGCUGGAGGGGAAGGGAGGAGUGGUGUAUGUAGGGCAGGCCUGCCUUGCCUAACCCCAUCGGUGCCUCUUUCCUUGAUAUGAUGUCAAAAUCAGAUAUAUCAAACUUGUCUAUGUGCAGAAUUACCGAUGGAAUCAUCACUUCUGUUCAACUACUAUAAAGCAAUUCCUACACCA